GUAGUCGUGGCCGAGUGGUUAAGGCGACAGAUGAGACCUCUACUCACCGUCUGGGGGUCAUAUCCCGCAUGGGUUCGAAUCCCAUUGACUGCA